UACGUAGGGUGCGAGCGUUGUCCGGAAUUAUUGGGCGUAAAGGGCUCGUAGGCGGUUUGUCGCGUCGGGAGUGAAAACUCAGGGCUUAACCCUGAGCCUGCUUCCGAUACGGGCAGACUAGAGGUAUGCAGGGGAGAACGGAAUUCCUGGUGUAGCGGUGAAAUGCGCAGAUAUCAGGAGGAACACCGGUGGCGAAGGCGGGCCUCUGGGCCGUAACUGACGCUGAGGAGCGAAAGCGUGGGGAGCGAACAGG
rnacentral:rRNA from 1 species